rnacentral:rRNA from 1 species
GAUGAACGCUAGCGGCAGGCUUAAUACAUGCAAGUCGAGGGGCAGCACAGGUAGCAAUACUGGGUGGCGACCGGCAAACGGGUGCGGAACACAUACACAACUUACCUUCUGGUGGGGGAUAGCCUUUGGAAACGGAGAUUAAUACCCCAUAUUAUAUAUGAGCUGCAUGGUUUGUAUAUUAAAGAUUUAUUGCCGGAAGAUGGGUGUGCGUAUGAUUAGGUAGUUGGCGGGGUAACGGCCCACCAAGCCGACGAUCAUUAACUGGUGUGAGAGCACAACCAGUCAAACGGGCACUGGGACACGGGCCCGACUCCUACGGGAGGCAGCAGUAAGGAAUAUUGGUCAAUGGACGGAAGUCUGAACCAGCCAGGCCGCGUGGGGGAUGAAGGUCCUCUGGAUUGUAAACUUCUUUUAUAGGGGGCGAAAAAAGGGAAUUCUUUCUCGUCUGACGGUACCCUAUGAAUGAGCACCGGCUAACUCCGUGCCAGCCGCCGCCGUAACAC